AUACUAUUUCAACCAAAUAAAUAAUAGGGUGCGUUUGGUUCGCACUAUGAAAGAUUGCUAUAGGAAUAAAAGGAUGUCUAAAAAUCUUAUUCCUACUCAUCCUAUGACUAAGAAUAUGACAUUUCAGUAUUUAGUUCGUAUGGUCAUAUUAUUUAGUUAUAUUAUUUAAGAUUAAAAAAAAUAUACAAUUAAUAUGUUUGUUUCGUUAAUUAAUUUUAGAUAAUGCUAUAAAAAAUUUUAACAUCUGUUUAGACAAAAAAGGAGAGAAAACAUAGGUUAGAGAAAGAGUAUAAUUAAAGAAAUAGGGAGAAAGAUCGAUAGAACCGAAAUUAGAGGGAGUAAGAGAGUUGAGAUUUUAGAAAAAGUGGGGCCGGAGAGAGAUAUUAGCUUAGAGAGAGAAAGAGAGUUAAAAUUUAGAGAGAGAAAGAUAAGCUUAAAGAGAGAUAUGAAGUUAGGGAGUAAAGAAAAAUAAUACUAACUAACCGGCGGGUGGGGAGAAAGAAAAAGAUUAGACAUAUUAUAUAUAAUUACUCCAAUAUGAGAAUAUCCAUCAUCUCUCAGAGAAGUGAGAUUAAUAUUUUGGGAUGAAUCUCAUUCCCAAGUAAAUCUAACAUUACCAACUAAAUUACUUAGUGCGCUUAGUUAAACACCAUUAUAUUUUUUUUAUUCCUAUUGGAUUACUAGAAAUCUUAAAAAAAUAGCGUGAACCAAACCCACCUGUAUAAUUAAAUUAAGUUUCUUAUUUAU
rnacentral:lncRNA from 1 species